UUCACUCUGGGACAAGCUCUGGAAACGGGGUCUAAUACCGGAUAACACUCUGUCCCGCAUGGGACGGGGUUAAAAGCUCCGGCGGUGAAGGAUGAGCCCGCGGCCUAUCAGCUUGUUGGUGGGGUAAUGGCCUACCAAGGCGACGACGGGUAGCCGGCCUGAGAGGGCGACCGGCCACACUGGGACUGAGACACGGCCCAGACUCCUACGGGAGGCAGCAGUGGGGAAUAUUGCACAAUGGGCGAAAGCCUGAUGCAGCGACGCCGCGUGAGGGAUGACGGCCUUCGGGUUGUAAACCUCUUUCAGCAGGGAAGAAGCGAAAGUGACGGUACCUGCAGAAGAAGCGCCGGCUAACUACGUGCCAGCAGCCGCGGU
rnacentral:rRNA from 1 species